ensembl:lncRNA
GUACAGCGACCCAUUGUACAUGCAACACAUCCGCAGACGUGCCGGAGAGCUCUUGAGCGAGAAGAUGAUCAUCUCCCCUAUCCAUAAAAUUGCCGCUUUCCUCUCCCCACAUUUUAAGACCCUAAAGAUGCUCUCGCCAGAUGAGAGCUUGGCAGUCCAAGUGGAAGCAAGGAUACUGACAACAGCCCUCAUUCCAAAUCUGCAGGUCCAGUCUGCGCAAAGUACAAGUCAAGCGGACGGGACAAGUGCAACAGAGAGGGAAGAAGUAGAAGAAAAUCUACUGAAAAAGCGCAGAAUGUUCCAGGAAUGGGAAGACACUCCAGACCUUAUUGAGGCGGAUGAAAUACAGCGCUAUAUGCUGUCACAUUUGAGUCUUGAGGACUGCACAGAAGACGUCCUUGGAUUUUGGAGGGAUCACGUCACGAUUUCCCUCUCCUCUCGAUGUUGGCAAGAGCGGUGCUUUGCGUUCCUGCAACCAGGGCAUCAAGCGAGUGCGCUUUCAGUUCAGCAGGUCGCGUGCUGGAAGCGCGUUGCAAUAGGCUAAACCCCGGCACCGUGGAUGCCAUCCUCUUUCUCCACAGUGCUUCCAAACAGCGGUCAUGUAUACAGUAGCCCUUAGUUCAAAUUUGAGUUUUCAAUUUGUAGCAUUCACACCGC